rnacentral:rRNA from 1 species
CCUACGGGGGGCAGCAGUGGGGAAUAUUGGACAAUGGGGGCAACCCUGAUCCAGCCAUGCCGCGUGUGUGAAGAAGGCCCUCGGGUUGUAAAGCACUUUCAGUGAGGAAGAACGCCUGGUGGUUAAUACCCAUCAGGAAAGACAUCACUCACAGAAGAAGCACCGGCUAACUCCGUGCCAGCAGCCGCGGUAAUACGGAGGGUGCGAGCGUUAAUCGGAAUUACUGGGCGUAAAGCGCGCGUAGGUGGCUUGAUAAGCCGGUUGUGAAAGCCCCGGGCUCAACCUGGGAACGGCAUCCGGAACUGUCAAGCUAGAGUGCAGGAGAGGAAGGUAGAAUUCCCGGUGUAGCGGUGAAAUGCGUAGAGAUCGGCAGGAAUACCAGUGGCGAAGGCGGCCUUCUGGACUGACACUGACACUGAGGUGCGAAAGCGUGGGUAGCAAACAGGAUUAGAUACCCCGGUAGUC